rnacentral:rRNA from 1 species
UACGGAGGGGGCUAGCGUUGUUCGGAAUCACUGGGCGUAAAGCGCACGUAGGCGGCUUUCUAAGUCAGGGGUGAAAUCCUGGAGCUCAACUCCAGAACUGCCUUUGAUACUGGGAAGCUUGAGUCCGGGAGAGGUGAGUGGAACUGCGAGUGUAGAGGUGAAAUUCGUAGAUAUUCGCAAGAACACCAGUGGCGAAGGCGGCUCACUGGCCCGGUACUGACGCUGAGGUGCGAAAGCGUGGGGAGCAAACAGG